AUUGAACGCUGGCGGCAGGCUUAACACAUGCAAGUCGAGCGAGCGGCGGACGGGUGAGUAAUGUCUGGGAAACUGCCUGAUGGAGGGGGAUAACUACUGGAAACGGUAGCUAAUACCGCAUACCAUCAGAUGUGCCCCGAUGGGAUUAGCUAGUAGGUGGGGUAAUGGCUCACCUAGGCGACGAUCCCUAGCUGGGCUGAGAGGAUGACAAGCCAAACGGGAAAGGAGAAACGGUCCAGACUCCUACGGGAGGAAGCAGUGGGGAAUAUUGCACAAUGGGCGCAAGCCUGAUGCAGCCAUGCCGCGUGGGUGAAGAAGGCCUUAGGGUUGUAAAGCACUUUCAGCGAGGAGGCGUUACUCGCAGAAGAAGCACCGGCUAACUCCGUGCCAGCAGCCGCGGUAAUAC
rnacentral:rRNA from 1 species